rnacentral:rRNA from 1 species
GAGUGAUCAAGUGUCUUAAGGGCAUUUGGUGGAUGCCUUGGCAUGCACAGGCGAUGAAGGACGUGAUACGCUGCGAUAAGCGUCGGGGAGGUGCGAAUACCCUUUGAUCCGACGAUUUCCGAAUGGGGCAACCCACCUUAGAUAGCUAGAAAAUCUGAAUUGUUGGCGCUUUUGCAAGAACAAUUCAACUUUCUAGUUAUCGUAAUAAGGUAUCUACACCUGAAUACAUAGGGUGUUAGAAGCGAACCUGGGGAACUGAAACAUCUAAGUACCCAGAGGAAAGGACAUCAAACGAGACUCCGCUAGUAGUGGCGAGCGAACGCGGACCAGGCCAGUGGCUUAAUUGAGUAAAGUGGAACAACUUGGAAAAGUUGGCUAGAGUGGGUGAUAGCCCCGUACACGCAACACGAUAUUAAGUCCUUGAGUAGGGCGGGACACGUGAAAUCCUGUCUGAACAUGGGUCGACCACGAUCCAAGCCUAAGUACUCGUGCAUGACCGAUAGCGAACCAGUACCGUGAGGGAAAGGUGAAAAGCACCCCGACGAGGGGAGUGAAAUAGUACCUGAAACCGAAUGCCUACAAACAGUUGGAGCCCAAGGUUCGUCCUGGGUGACAGCGUACCUUUUGUAUAAUGGGUCAGCGACUUAGUCUGACGAGCAAGCUUAAGCCGGUAGGUGUAGGCGCAGCGAAAGCGAGUCUGAACAGGGCGUUCAGUUCGUCGGAUUAGACCCGAAACCAAGUGAUCUAGCCAUGAGCAGGUUGAAGGUACGGUAACACGUACUGGAGGACCGAACCCAUAUCUGUUGCAAUAGAUCGGGAUGACUUGUGGCUAGGGGUGAAAGGCCAAUCAAACUUGGAGAUAGCUGGUUCUCCGCGAAAUCUAUUUAGGUAGAGCGUCCAGCGAAUACCCCCGGGGGUAGAGCACUGAAUGGGCUAUGGGGACUCACCGUCUUACUGAUCCUAAUCAAACUCCGAAUACCGGGGAGUACUACUGGGCAGACACACGGCGGGUGCUAACGUCCGUCGUGAAGAGGGCAACAACCCUGACCACCAUCUAAGGUCCCUAAGUUAUGGCUAAGUGGGAAAGGAUGUGAGGAUCCCAAAACAACCAGGAUGUUGGCUUAGAAGCAGCCAUCAUUUAAAGAAAGCGUAACAGCUCACUGGUCUAAAUAAGGGUCUUUGCGCCGAAAAUGUACCGGGGCUAAAGCCAUACACCGAAGCUGUGGAUGCACGUAUGUGCGUGGUAGCGGAGCGUUCCGUAAGCCUGUGAAGGGACAGUCGUGAGACAUCCUGGAGGUAUCGGAAGUGAGAAUGCUGACAUG